UACGGAGGGGGCAAGCGUUAUUCGGAAUCAUUGGGCGUAAAGGGCGUGUAGGCGGCCUUGUGUGUCUUAUGUGAAAGCCCUCGGCUCAACCGGGGAACUGCAUGGGAAACUGCGAGGCUUGAGUCCGGGAGAGGAGAGUGGAAUUCCCAGUGUAGCGGUGAAAUGCGUAGAUAUUGGGAGGAACACCAGUGGCGAAGGCGGCUCUCUGGACCGGUACUGACGCUGAAACGCGAAAGCCAGGGGAGCAAACGGG
rnacentral:rRNA from 1 species